rnacentral:ncRNA from 2 species
UACGUAGGUGGCAAGCGUUGUCCGGAUUUACUGGGCGUAAAGCGCACGCAGGCGGUUCGUUAAGUCUGGGGUGAAAUCUCUCGGCUCAACUGGGAGGGGUCUUCAGAUACUGGCGGACUUGAGUGCAUCAGAGGAGAGUGGAAUUCCCGGUGUAGUGGUGAAAUGCGUAGAUAUCGGGAGGAACACCAGUGGCGAAGGCGGCUCUCUGGGGUGUUACUGACGCUGAGGUGCGAAAGCGUGGGGAGCGAACCGG